AACCAGGAUGUGGAAAAGUAUGCUUGAAUGCCAUCAGAGUCAAUGUCAAGCAAUCAGAGAAGUUAAAGGAUUGGGUUCUUUUGGAUCAGGUAAAAAGCUUGGUGAUGAUCAUCUUAAAGCCACAUUGCAGCUUGAGCAUGACCUUCUUAAUUGGACUUCCAGCUUCUCAAGUUGGAUAGGUGCCCAGAAAGGUUAUGUGAGAGCCUUGAAUAGCUGGCUUGGUAAAUGUCUCUUGUAUGAACCAGAAGAAACACCAGAUGGAAUAGCUCCCUUCUCACCUGGUAGGAUGGGUGCGCCUCCAGUGUUUGUAAUCUGUAAUCAGUGGGCACAA
rnacentral:misc_RNA from 1 species